rnacentral:rRNA from 1 species
UACGGAGGGUGCGAACGUUAAUCGGAAUCACUGGGCGUAAAGCGCGCGUAGGCGGUCUGUUAAGUGGGAUGUGAAAUCCCCGGGCUUAACCUGGGAAUUGCAUUUCAAACUGGCCGACUAGAGUACGGUAGAGGGAGGUAGAAUUUCCUGUGUAGCGGUGAAAUGCGUAGAUAUAGGAAGGAAUACCAGUGGCGAAGGCGGCCUCCUGGAUCGAUACUGACGCUGAGGCGCGAAGGCGUGGGGAGCGAACGGG